rnacentral:rRNA from 1 species
UACGGAGGGUGCAAGCGUUGUCCGGAAUCACUGGGCGUAAAGGGCGCGUAGGCGGCGUGACAAGUCACUUGUGAAAUCUCCGGGCUUAACUCGGAGCGGUCAAGUGAUACUGUCGUGCUAGAGUGCGGAAGGGGCUACUGGAAUUCUCGGUGUAGCGGUGAAAUGCGUAGAUAUCGAGAGGAACACCUGCGGCGAAGGCGGGUAGCUGGGCCGACACUGACGCUGAUGCGCGAAAGCCAGGGGAGCGAACGGG